rnacentral:rRNA from 1 species
AUUGAACGCUGGCGGCAUGCUUAACACAUGCAGUCGAACGGCAGCACAGUGUGUAGCAAUACACAUGGGUGGCGAGUGGCGGACGGGUGAGUAAUGCUUGGGAAUCUGCCUGGUAGUGGGGGACAACCCGAGGAAACUCGGGCUAAUACCGCAUACGCCCUACGGGGGAAAGCGGGGGAUCUUCGGACCUCGCGCUAUCAGAUGAGCCCAAGUCCGAUUAGCUAGUUGGUAGGGUCAUGGCCUACCAAGGCGACGACGGGUAGCUGGUCUGAGAGGACGAGCAGCCUCACUGGGACGGAGUCACGGCCCAGAUGCCCACGGGAGGCAGCAGUGGGGAAUAUUGCACAGUGGGCGAAAGCAUGAUGCAGCGAUGCCGCGUGUGUGAAGGAGGCCUGCGGGUUGUAAAGCACUUUCAGUAGGAAGGAAAAGCCUAGGGCUAAUAUCCCUGGGUCUUGACGUAAACUACAGAAGAAGCACCGGCUAACUCCGUGCCAGCCGCCGCAGUAAUAC